CUUAGCAGUGAGCUCCCUCUGAAAGGUAACUCCCUACACCCUUAGCAGUGAGCUCCCUCUGAAAGGUAACUCCCUACACCCUUAGCAGUGAGCUCCCUCUGAAAGGUAACUCCCUACACCCUUAGCAGUGAGCUCCCUCUGAAAGGUAACUCCCUACACCCUUAGCAGUGAGCUCCCUCUGAAAGGUAACUCCCUACACCCUUAGCAGUGAGCUUCCUCUGUAGGUAGCUGCCUCGCUGCCUACACCCUUAGCAGUGAGCUCACUC